CACGUAGGGUGCGAGCGUUGUCCGGAAUUAUUGGGCGUAAAGAGCUCGUAGGCGGUCUGUCGCGUCGGCUGUGAAAACCCGGAGCUCAACUCCGGGCCUGCAGUCGAUACGGGCAAACUGGAGUGUUGCAGGGGAGACUGGAAUUCCUGGUGUAGCGGUGAAAUGCGCAGAUAUCAGGAGGAACGCCGAUGGCGAAGGCAGGUCUCUGGGCCACUACUGACACUCAUGCACGAAAGCGUGGGGAGCAAACAGG
rnacentral:rRNA from 1 species